GCCUUGAUGUUGUAGUGGUAGGACGUGCGCCUUGUAUGUGUGAUACGCGGGUUCAACUCCUGUUUAGGGUC